rnacentral:lncRNA from 1 species
UGGGCGGCACAAGGCUGAGAGAAAAAGAAGUUGUUCCCGGGCAGUAGGUCAGUGCCAUUUUGUGGAGUGUCUGAUGAGCAGAAUGGAUGCUUGGACAGUUAACUUACCAUAAACUUGCAGCAAUUGAAGGUACUGAGGUGGAGAAUUACUUCUAGUGCCCAGUAAGUGACCAUUCAAGGGAAGAUGGGAGAGGCUGAAACUUCAUGGGACACACCGAUGAUAGUAAUGUAAGCAAAUAUUUACAUAGUGCAAAUGCUCUAACAUGUCAGUGUUGCUUGGGUUAGCAAACCCCAGUAAAUCAAUGGCUGACAUUGUCUCAGUUGGAGCCAAUUGACUAGCAACAGUCAGUUUGGCGACCCAGAAUACACA